UACGUAGGGACCGAGCGUUGUCCGGAUUCAUUGGGCGUAAAGAGCUCGUAGGCGGCUGCUCAAGUCGAAUGUGAAAACUCGAGGCUCAACCUCGAGCCUGCAUUCGAUACUGGGCGGCUAGAGUCUGGUAGGGGGAUCUGGAAUUCCUGGUGUAGCGGUGGAAUGCGCAGAUAUCAGGAGGAACACCUAUGGCGAAGGCAGCUCGCUGGGACGUAACUGACGCUGAGACGCGAAAGCGUGGGGAGCAAACAGG
rnacentral:rRNA from 1 species